rnacentral:rRNA from 1 species
GGCCUGGCUGGCCGGUCCGCCUCAUCGCGUGUACUGGUUCGGCCGGGCCUUUCCUUCUGGCAAACCUUAUGCCCUUAAUUGGGUGUAUGGGGAACCAGGACUUUUACUUUGAAAAAAUUAGAGUGUUUAAAGCAGGCUACAAUCGCUUGAAUACAUUAGCAUGGAAUAAUAGAAUAGGAC